GGCCUACGGGAGGCAGCAGUGAGGAAUAUUGGUCAAUGGGCGAGAGCCUGAACCAGCCAAGUCGCGUGAAGGAUGACGGCCCUAUGGGUUGUAAACUUCUUUUGUCAGGGAGCAAUUGGGUCCACGCGUGGGCUUAGCGAGAGUACCUGAAGAAAAAGCAUCGGCUAACUCCGUGCCAGCAGCCGCGGUAAUACGGAGGAUGCGAGCGUUAUCCGGAUUUAUUGGGCUUAAAGGGUGCGUAGGCGGAAUAUCAAGUCAGCGGUAAAAAUUCGGGGCUCAACCCCGUCGUGCCGUUGUAACUGAUG
rnacentral:rRNA from 1 species